rnacentral:rRNA from 1 species
AGUGAACGCUGGCGGCGUGCCUAAUACAUGCAAGUCGAACGGAGUGGCGCACGGGUGAGUAAUAUAUAGCUAAUCUGCCCCUUGCUGGAGGACAACAGUUUGAAAUGACUGCUAAUACUCCAUAGCAAGGGAUGAGACUAUAUCGUAUCACCUAGUCGGUGGGGUAACGGCCUACCGAGGCUAUGACGUGUAAAGGUUCUAAGAGUAUGAUCAGUCAAAUUGGAACUGAGACACGGUCAAAACUCCAACGGGAAGGAGCAGUAGCGAAUAUUGCGCAAUGGGGGACACCCUGACGAAGCUACGCCGCGUGGAGGAUGAAACAUUUCGAAGCGUAAACUCCUUUUGUUAGAGAAGCGGUACCUGACGAAUAAGCACCGGCUAACUCCGUGCCAGCAGCCGCGGUAAUUC